rnacentral:rRNA from 1 species
GAUGAACGCUGGCGGCGUGCUUAACACAUGCAAGUCGAGCGAGUGAGUUCUUCGGAACGAUCUAGCGGCGGACGGGUGAGUAACACGUGGGCAACCUGCCUCAUAGAGGGGAAUAGCCUCCCGAAAGGGAGAUUGAUACCGCAUAAAAUUAUCGAGUGGCAUCACAUGAUAAUCAAAGGAGUAAUCCGCUAUGAGAUGGGCCCGCGGCGCAUUAGCUAGUUGGUGGGGUAACGGCUCACCAAGGCGACGAUGCGUAGCCGACCUGAGAGGGUGAUCGGCCACAUUGGGACUGAGACACGGCCCAGACUCCUACGGGAGGCAGCAGUGGGGAAUAUUGCACAAUGGGGGAAACCCUGAGGCAGCAACGCCGCGUGAGUGAUGAAGGCCUUCGGAUUGUAAAGCUCUGUCUUUGGGGACGAUAAUGACGGUACCCAAGGAGGAAGCCACGGCUAACUACGUACCAGCCGCCGCGGUA